UACAGUAUUGAAGAGAUUUAUUUUAUUAUUGCUUCAAUUAGCUCCAUUUAUGUGUUGACUUCAUUGAAGAGGUCCAAUGAGAAAAUAACAGAAGCCUCCUUAUUUCCCAGGUUUUCCUCCUUUAGUACCAUCCUCAUCCAAUUACUGUCUCUCCGAUACUACUUAAUAGCAGGGGGUUUGCAGAAAUUUCUGUUUGCCAUGUAAAACUGUGAAUAGUAAUUUAUUUUAGAUAGUUGUUGAACUUGUGAGUUUUAACUCACAAUGCAGCCUUCCCUUUUGCAGUUUUUUUGUUUUCUGUUUUUUGGGUUUUUUUUGUUUGUUUGUUUUCUUUGUCUUUUAGUGUGCCAUCGAUCUUUGAUAUUGCAUUGAAGGACAAUAUACCACAGUAGCACCUUGAACUCAGUGAAAAUUGUUCAGGAUCAAAAUACUAAGUGUUCUUUUAGAGGGAAGGAAAAAGUACACACACUGUCCUCUCACAAUGAUAUAUUUUAUACAUUCAUUUGUUAUUUGUUUCAUGCUUUAUAAUUCCAGAUGGAAAGGUAAUUUCAGUGACUUUUCAGGUUUAAAUUACAUUACAGGUAAAUGAAAAGUUAUGGUACAAAUAAAAUUGGUAUGAUCCCCAGGGUGAAUAAAAAUCAAAACACGAAGUAGAAGAUGUGACCAUGAGGAUGUUUAUGUAACAAAUUCAAAGUGAAGAUCAUGUUUAUUUUUACUUGUUUGAUAAAAUAUUUUUGAAAUGAUAAUACUUAUUUUAUUAUUUGAUAUUUCAGUACCUAUCCAAUUGUGGCAAAUUUUCACAUUUUAGAUUGGCAUUGGUAAUAGAAAUGUCAGAAUGUUCAAAUUGGCCUUCACGUUGUCGGAGUGAACACAUUCACACCUAGCUUUAAGACUGAUUUAUCUGUCGGUCUACUGAAGGUUUCCAUGUAGGACUUCAAAUGUGAAUAAAGGAAAAGCGGUCAGGAAAACAGGGCAUUCUCUGGAGAGUCACGUGUUUUGAUUUGGACAUUUCCGUAGAGCUCGGCUCCCAGUGCUGUGUUCCUCAGUGGAAGGGGUCUCUGCUGUCUGGGGACUCACUGGCCUCUCCUAGGGACUCCUCUGUCUUGUGAACCCCACACUGUUGGAUUCUGUAUCAUUACGCGAAUUCUCUGCACAGUUUUCCCUGGCCAACCUACCCACAUCCUUGGAGAUUUGCUUUGCCAAUGGGAAUCCUUACCUUGCUGUUUCACAGUAGACUGCUGGACGAGGUCAGCGGGAGUCGUGCUCCUAACACACACACUGAACGAAACAAAGAGAAGACGGUUGAAAGUGUGAGGAGGCUCGUGUGCAAGGGAGAACAGGGUUACUAUACAUAUUAGGUGUAUAUAUAUACAUACAUACAUAUAUAUAUAUAUUGUACAUAUCUAAGUUUGAGUCAUUCAAACUAGGUGCAAAAUGCUGACUUCAGAGUCUGAAUUAAUGUCUCUGUUCCCACAUCCCUGACCUGCUCCCUGGUCAAUGAUGCUAUGAAAUCCUGAAAUGACAGGACAUACAUACAUACAAGAAACCACAUAUCAGAUUAGAUAUGAUUUUCCUUUGUGUGCAAAGUCAAACUGUCCUAGGGUUGCCAGUUCGAAGCAUGUUAUUUAAAUGAAAAAAAAAAAA
ensembl:lncRNA